UUCAUCUAAUACAAAAGUUGCAGUACCUUCACUCAAAUCAAAAUUCCCCAUUGAAAUGAAUUGAAAUGAUGUUAAUUCGUUCCAGCCUCCACAAAGCAAAAAUUGUGUGGGUGUGUACGUGGUUAAGAAAAAUAAGAAAUAUUCACUGUAUUGAUUCGCAACAACAACCGCGAUGUGACCUGUGUCUUGGCAGGAAGUUUGCCAGUUUGUCUGCGCGAGUUUUGUCCUAAAGUAGCUCUUUGCUGGCAUUUUCAUUGUGUUGCUGCGCGUUUUGACUUUUUUCUCCAUGUCCGCAACCGUCCGUUCUGUUGUUGCUGUAAUACUCGUGCGACUCGAAUUCGUGGAGACAAAUUCGUGUUUUUAUAUACUCAGCCCAUAAAGAUGAUUCUGAUCCUGAAUCUGAUUCCGAAAGCGAAUUGGCGCCUGUCGCUCUCCUUCUUUUCACUUCACUUGAGAGGAAGUGCAUCCAAGACUCACUUGAAAUGAAAUUUUUGGCUAACGGGUUAACCCUAAUUGUAGCCGCAACACAAAACAAAACAAAAAAGUCAAACCAAACUAUCUAUCGUAACUUGAAUAACUUGUAAGCUGGGACGCUGGUUCGUCGAGGUGCCACUUGGAGACAAAUGAACAAAUUCACGCGCGCAGCGGGAAAUAUGUUGAAUUUCAUUGUUCAUUGCGUGAGGAAGUGUUCACUCCUCGUGUUCAGACAUGCUUGCAAUCCAAAAUCAGAGUGCGGAAGGUGUCGGUCAGCGUGGCAUUCCGCAAGUGUCGAUGUGGUAUGCGGCGCCCAC